rnacentral:lncRNA from 1 species
AUUAUAUUUUAUCUUUGGCAAUUUUUGACAAAAAAGGGGAGAACAGAGGUGAACAGGAUGACAUAGGUGGACAGGUUGUUCAAAGGGUGAGAGAAAAUUUGAAGAACAAAAUUUGACAAACAAAGGGGGAGAUGGAACAUCGUGACGAACAUUUGACGAUGAAGAUGUAGAUAUGAGGUUAAGGGUGCGUUUGGUUCGCGCUAUCUUUUUAAGAUUCCUAGUAAUCCAAUAGGAAUAAAAACAUAUGGCGGGUGUUUGGCUAAACGCACUAAGUAAUCUAGUUGGUAAUACUAGAUUUACUUGGGAAUGAGAUGCAUCCCAAAGUACUAAUCUCAUUCCUUUGAGGGAGGGUGGGUAUCCUUAUAUUAAUGGAUUGGAGUAAUUAUAAUAUGUCUAAUUUCUUUUUUUCUUCCCACCUGCCGGCUAGUUGAUAUUAUUUUUCUUUACACUCUAACCUCAAAUUUCUCUCUAAACUUAUCUUUUUCUCUCUAAACUUCAACUCUUUUUCUCUCUCUAAAUUGCUAUUCCUCUCAUUCUUUUUCUAAAAUCUCAACCCUCUAAUUUUCUCUAAUCUCGAUUCUAUUUUUUUUUCUAUUUUUUUAAUUAUGCUCUCUCUUUCUAACUUAUAUUCUCUCCUUUUUUUUCUAAAAAGAUAUUGAAUUUUUUAUAGUAUUAUGUAAAAUUAAUUAAAUGAAUAAAUUAAUUAAUUGUAUAUUUUUGAUAAUCUUAAAUAACAUGACUAAAUAAUAUGACCAUACAAACCAAACAUCGAAAUACUACAUUCUUAGUAAUAGGAUGAAUAGGAAUAAGAUUCUCGGAUAUCUUUUUAUUCCUAGUAAUCUUUCAUAGUGCAAAUCAAACGCGCCCUAAUGUUAAUGUUUUUAACUUUCUACAUUAUUUUGGAAAAUCAGUUUCGCAGGAAAACAAAACUUCAAGACUCCUAGUUGCGUCUAAG